rnacentral:rRNA from 1 species
UACGAAGGGGGCUAGCGUUGCUCGGAAUCACUGGGCGUAAAGGGUGCGUAGGCGGAUCUUUUAAGUCAGGGGUGAAAUCCUGGAGCUCAACUCCAGAACUGCCUUUGAUACUGAGGAUCUCGAGUUCGGGAGAGGUGAGUGGAACUGCGAGUGUAGAGGUGAAAUUCGUAGAUAUUCGCAAGAACACCAGUGGCGAAGGCGGCUCACUGGCCCGAUACUGACGCUGAGGCACGAAAGCGUGGGGAGCAAACAGGG